AACGAACGCUGGCGGCAUGCCUAACACAUGCAAGUCGAACGAGACCUUCGGGUCUAGUGGCGCACGGGUGCGUAACGCGUGGGAAUCUGCCCUUGGGUUCGGAACAACAGUUGGAAACGACUGCUAAUACCGGAUGAUGACUUCGGUCCAAAGAUUUAUCGCCCAAGGAUGAGCCCGCGUAGGAUUAGCUUGUUGGUGAGGUAAAAGCUCACCAAGGCGACGAUCCUUAGCUGGUCUGAGAGGAUGAUCAGCCACUGGGACUGAGACACGGCCCAGACUCCUACGGGAGGCAGCAGUGGGGAAUAUUGGACAAUGGGCGAAAGCCUGAUCCAGCAAUGCCGCGUGAGUGAUGAAGGCCUUAGGGUUGUAAAGCUCUUUUACCCGGGAUGAUAAUGACAGUACCGGGAGAAUAAGCCCCGGCUAACUCCGUGCCAGCAGCCGCCGUAA
rnacentral:rRNA from 1 species